UACGUAGGUGGCAAGCGUUGUCCGGAAUUAUUGGGCGUAAAGCGCGCGCAGGCGGUCCUUUAAGUCUGAUGUGAAAGCCCACGGCUCAACCGUGGAAGGUCAUUGGAAACUGGAGGACUUGAGUACAGAAGAGGAAAGCGGAAUUCCACGUGUAGCGGUGAAAUGCGUAGAGAUGUGGAGGAACACCAGUGGCGAAGGCGGCUUUCUGGUCUGCAACUGACGCUGAGGCGCGAAAGCGUGGGGAGCAAACAGG
rnacentral:rRNA from 1 species